AACGCGAAGAACCUUACCUGGGCUUGACAUCCUCUGAUCAUCUAGGAGACUAGGUUUCCGGGCAACCGGACAGAGAGACAGGUGCUGCAUGGCUGUCGUCAGCUCGUGUCGUGAGAUGUUGGGUUAAGUCCCGCAACGAGCGCAACCCUUGUCCUGUGUUGCCAUCAUUCAGUUGGGAACUCGCAGGAGACCGCCAGGGAUAACCUGGAGGAAGGUGGGGAUGACGUCAAGUCCUCAUGGCCUUUAUGUCCAGGGCUACACACGUGCUACAAUGGACGGUACAAAGGGCUGCCAACCCGCAAGGGGGAGCCAAUCCCAAAAAACCGUUCUCAGUUCGGAUUGCAGGCUGCAACUCGCCUGCAUGAAGCUGGAAUCGCUAGUAAUGGUGGAUCAGAACGCCACCGUGAAUACGUUCCCGGGCCUUGUACACACCGACUGUAC
rnacentral:rRNA from 1 species